UAUUCUCAGGGCGGGGCGAGAUUCCCCACCGGCGGUAUGUGGACAUGAUCCACGAGCCCGCGAGCGCCUCGAUCAUCGAGGGUCAAGCAGAUCUGGUGAAAAACCAGAGCCGACGGUCAUAGUCCGGAUGAAAGAGAAU
rnacentral:ncRNA from 1 species